UCUUAUGGAUAAGAAAAGAAAGUGGCUUCCUGAGGUGGAAUCUACUCCUGAUGAAGAUACUAUGAA
rnacentral:pre_miRNA from 1 species